AUGAAUAAUUACGACGACUUACCCUGCUCUAUUUACUUCAAAAAACCAACUGGAGUUUGUGGAUCAACCGAGAGUCUUCGAAGAUUCUGAAGUCCCUGCCUUUCAAGAAGUUCUUCAGCUUCCACAAGAAAGGACAAAACCCCCAGUACCAUCUACGCAGCCAAUUGUCGCCGCUGUAGAAGUAGCCAAGAAAAAAUCGUGUCUUUCGGCUCCGAAACCAAGAAAAGAGCCACCUUCGCAUCCAGCGCUUCGCCAAAAAACAGUUGCGUUUGGAAAAACAGUUAACGUUUCCCAAACUGUCGAGGGAACAUCUCGGAAUUCAAAAAAAGUGCUUGCUUCAACAAUGUCUGCCCAAAAUACGACAACGACUGAAGAACAGGCAGCUGAAAACUGGCGGGACGCUAUGAAAACAGAACUGCAAACGAUACGAACAGAGAUUCAAGAAGAAACGGCCCGGCGACAAGAAGAGCUCAAUGCUCAAAAUCUUGUUAAAAUGCAAGAAUUGAUGUCAAACUUCUUUCAGAAGAUAACGAUUCCUAAACAGCAAGCGAUCGAACCAGUUGAAAAAGACAAAGAAAAUUUUCAUGAGAGUCCUCGUCAAUCAAGACAGCAGAAGCCAGCUAGUAAAAUCGCUUCGGCACGAGAAGUUAUCAAAAGAGACGGUGUUAUACCUCCAGAAGCAUUAACAAUUAUUGAGCAACGCCUUCGCUCGGACCCAAUGUUUCGCCAACAAAUUGAUAAUGUUCUAGCAGACGCUGAAUGUGAUGCUAACAGAGCUGCAUAUUCUCCACCACCACCAAUGUCUGAAGUUAGAUACGGAUCUGGUGUGAAUCCUGCUUUGAUGAGAGAAACACUUACGGUAGAACGAAGUAUUCGAUAUGACAACGGACUCGCUUCUAUUGAUUCUAGACAGUGGACAAAUGAGAGACGUGAUAAUCGUGCUCCUGACUCAUACCGUACCUACGAACCGGAUCAACCAUGUCACUCACUCUAUCAAAAGGGUCAAAGUAUUAGCUAUUAUCCGUCAGAAGCAGCUGGAAAAACGACAGCUAGAAACAAUCGAACUGGAUACUACGUGGAAGAUUCAUCAGAUCAUGAAGAGGAUGUUGUAGUCAAUAAACGGGGACAGAACUAUCACGAGCAAGCGGUACCUGAGACUCCAGCUGAACGAGAACGCCGUAUUCGUGAAAAAUACGCUCGCAGGAAAUGA
rnacentral:misc_RNA from 1 species